rnacentral:rRNA from 1 species
GUCUGCGGCCAGACCGCCCUGAACGCGCCCGAUCUCGUCUGAUCUCGGAAGCUAAGCAGGGUCCGGCCUGGUUAGUACUUGGAUGGGAUUCCGCCUGGGAAUACCGGGUGCUGUAGGCU